UUAUUUUGAUCAACUGUUCUGUCUUCCUUCUCAUGUUCAACGACACCACACGUCUGCCUCAGGCGGGGCAGUGUGAGACUUAUCCUUUUGAAAUAACUGCAGAGAACUCACAUUAGUGGGUUUGUGGACUUCCCUCCAUCUUGGACACAAACCAGCAGUGUAGUUAGUACACCAGCCUCGAAGCGGACUCGAUGUGGGACGGCUUUAGAACCCGCUCCCGCUGAUGCUGACUGGCCGGGAGAAGGCGCGGACAGGAGGAGGGUGUGGGGAGUUCACACGGAGUCGAGCCCCAGUGUCAAAGGGGACAGAGUCAGCUCGGCGGUGGUCUGAAGCGGCGGCGGAGGAGUCAGGUGAGACGGGUUCAUCGCGUCUUCCUCUCUGUGUCACGUGAUUGGGGUUUGUCCCGCAGGUGUUUCUGUUUGUCGUGUCCGGUUUGUCCACCGGAUGGAGACAAACUCCAGGAAACACUUCGACUCUGGUUCUGACGAAGCCCCAGUCUGAACCCUGUCCACUUCAAAUAUCUGAUUCACUUCACCGACAACAGUCAGAGCUCAGACUGAAAACCUGCUGGACACUACAACAAAAUGCACACAGACUUUUUCACCGCUGCAAAACGUUAAAAUACAUUUCGGAAGAUGAUCCCACAGCUGCAGCGAGAGCCCGGACAACAACAACGUCGAAAAUGCCGCAAAUCUGUCAAGUUUCAUUGUCCGAGACGAUCGAGAGUUACACUUUGAAUCUGAUGGUGCACGUGUUGUUCCUGGAAAGGAGGAAGAAUUAAAUGAAGAAAGAACCUGUUGUCAUCCAGCAGGAGCUGUGGGUCCAAAAUCUUUGUCAAAUUUACAAUAAAAGUCCAGUAGCUCACUUUGUUCUGUCCUGAUGAAGAGGAUGAGGACAAGUCAGCAGAUUAAAAACAGAGGACACACCAGGUUUGGACAUCUGGAGCUGCCAGUCAAACCUGAAUUAAUUAACCUCCUCUGUUAAUUAAUUGAAGACACGUCAGGUUCAAU